CUACGAGUGGCAGCAGUGGGGAAUAUUGGACAAUGGGCGAAAGCCUGAUCCAGCCAUGCCGCGUGUGUGAAGAAGGCCUUCGGGUUGUAAAGCACUUUCAGUGGGGAAGAAAGCCUUGGGGCUAAUACCCUCGAGGAAGGACAUCACCCACAGAAGAAGCACCGGCUAACUCCGUGCCAGCAGCCGCGGUAAUACGGAGGGUGCGAGCGUUAAUCGGAAUUACUGGGCGUAAAGCGCGCGUAGGCGGUCUGAUAAGCCGGUUGUGAAAGCCCCGGGCUCAACCUGGGAACGGCAUCCGGAACUGUCAGGCUAGAGUGCAGGAGAGGAAGGUAGAAUUCCCGGUGUAGCGGUGAAAUGCGUAGAGAUCGGGAGGAAUACCAGUGGCGAAGGCGGCCUUCUGGACUGACACUGACGCUGAGGUGCGAAAGCGUGGGUAGCAAACAGGAUUAGAUACCCCAGUAGUC
rnacentral:rRNA from 1 species